AUUGAACGCUGGCGGAAUGCUUUACACAUGCAAGUCGAACGGCAGCACGGACUUCGGUCUGGUGGCGAGUGGCGAACGGGUGAGUAAUGUAUCGGAACGUGCCCAGUCGUGGGGGAUAACGUAGUGAAAAUUACGCUAAUACCGCAUACGAUCUAUGGAUGAAAGCGGGGGAUCGCAAGACCUCGCGCGAUUGGAGCGGCCGAUAUCAGAUUAGGUAGUUGGUGGGGUAAAGGCCCACCAAGCCAACGAUCUGUAGCUGGUCUGAGAGGACGACCAGCCACACUGGAACUGAGACACGGUCCAGACUCCUACGGGAGGCAGCAGUGGGGAAUUUUGGACAAUGGGCGAAAGCCUGAUCCAGCCAUUCCGCGUGCAGGAUGAAGGCCCUCGGGUUGUAAACUGCUUUUGUACAGAACGAAAAGGUUUCUACUAAUACUAGGAGCUCAUGACGGUACUGUAAGAAUAAGCACCGGCUAACUACGUGCCAGCCGCCGCCGUAAAAC
rnacentral:rRNA from 1 species